AGCAGUGUAGCCUAAUAGUAAAAGCCCAGGUCUAAAAGUCAGAGAUCCUGGGUUCUAAUCCCAGCUCUGAUA
rnacentral:tRNA from 1 species